UAAGGCUCCUAUGUCUCCUUCCCAUUGGCAGCAGUGAGAAGAGAGCAUGGCCUGGAUUUUGGGGGUCCUUGAGAAUGGAUGUUGCUUUCUUGUGGCAGCACUCCUUGUAGAUGUGAACAAUAGCUGAAAUGGUAUCUGUUUCAUCUCCUGCAUGCGUACUCUCACUGCUCAUUUCAGGUAGAGAAAGGAAACUGUUCCCCUUGUCCUUCACCCUGCCUCUGCCCCACCCCAACCCCCUCCACAUUUGAUAGAUAAUUCUUGUUCUCUUUUAAAUCUGUCCUUAAAUUGAAUCCAAAAUUUUCAGACAUCAACUGAAAAGACAAGUUGUUGGUACAUCUCAUAUCCAGUGAAUAAUCCCUCCAGUAAUUCCAUUUGCUUCCUCCAGACCAAGGGUGUAACCAUGGCAACCUAUAUGGGUCCCCAUUAACUCUCUUAAUCUGAGAGUUUGUUGCUGUUGGAUCAGCUGGCUGUUUCCAGCACCUCUUCUGACAAAUAUUCAGGAACUGCAUUUUGUCUUUACAGCCUUUCAAACCCAAUGGUCUUUACUUACGUUCUUGGAACCCAUAUGGAACUAUUACUUAGAUUGUGUUCUCUGCAGUGUUGGAGGCUGGGGUGCGACAUGAUAUAAGAAUAUAAAAUUCUGAGAGGAAGGAAAAUGACAAAUAAAGAUUAUGGAUAAGCUGUCCAUGUGAAAUUGAAACAUGAGGAAAAUUUAAUGUAAUGACAUCAUGAUGCUGAUCUUAACUGAAUUACUCAGCUAAGUUCUGAUGUCCUGGAUAUGGAGACAUAAGACACAAGAGGUAAGACAAAGAAGCAGAAACUGGCCAUUCAGCUAAUCAAGUCUGCUCUGCUAAUAAUAAUAGAUUUAUUAUCUGAUUCUCUAUAACCUUUGACGUCCUUACUGAUCAAGAAACUUUCAACCACCUCUUUAAAUAUACCCAACGACUUGGCCUCCGCAGUAGUCUGUGGUAAUGAAUCCCACUGAUUCACCAUCCACUAGCUAAAGUGAUUCCUCCUCAUUUCUGUUCUCAAGGGACGUCCUUCUAUUCUGAGGCUGUGCCCCCUGGACAUAGACUCCCCCACUACUGGAAACAUCCUUUCCAUGUCCACUCUGUCUGGUCCUUUCAAUAUUGAUAGGUUUCAAUGAGACCCACCCUCAUUCUUCUCAGCUCCAGCAAGUUCAGGCCUAGUGCUGUCAAAUGCUCCAUGUACAUUAGCCCCUAUUAUUCCCUGGAUCAUUCUCAUAAACCUCUUCUGGACUCUCUCCAAAGGCAGCACAUCCUUCAUAGAUAAGGAGCAGCUGAGGGAGUAGUGAGAGAUAUGGAUGUGGAAGGUACGGAAAAUGAAUUUGGAUUCAAUUUUAAAGUACAGAACUGUGCAAAAGUCUUAGACAUAUAUACAGUAUACAGCUAAGGUGCCUAAGACAUUAGCACUGUACUGUACUGCUGCAAAAUUUAAUGAUACAGCUCAAUGAUAUUCUUAACUCAAACCAGCAAGUGUGAUAGAGGUGCCCAUUGAACCAGACCAAUAUUCCUGAAAAAUAAAUUCCACUUUGAUUGCUUUCUAAUAUAAGCAGAUCAGAAAGACAUAAAAGCUUUAGGAAGAAAAUGGUGAAAACAUAUUUCUGGUUAAUCUGCCAAAAUCCUGCUUCAGGAAAUAUCUCUGUUUCUUUUUGUCGGAGAUCAAAGUAUUUAUAUUACAUUCAAAUAGAUGAGAUUUAUGAAAGCAUGUGCAACUAGCUCCACUUACCCACUCCAUUUUUAUGGGAUACAGUGACGCAGAUGACAGAGCUGCUGUUUCAGAGUGCGCGUGACCCAGUUCAAUCCUGGCCUCCAGUGCUCUCCGAAUGGAGUCGGUUCAUUCACAUUGUGAUUCAGCCGGGGUUUUCCCCUGCAUCGCAAAGACAUGGAGAUGUGGGGGGGGGGGGUCAGUGACUGAAUGGGCCCCGGUAUUCCAAUGAGUAGUUGCAUCUAAGGGGAAUUAUUGAGAAUGUACAGUACAGAGAAUAAAAUGGGAUUAGUGUAGGGUUAGUGUAGCUGUUGCUUGUUGGCAUAGACCUCAAAAAUUCAAGGUAAAAUUUAUUAUCAAAUUAUGCAUAUGUCACCAUUGUUCAAUCUUCUUGCAGGCAUUCACAGGAAAACAAAAAAAAUGCAAUACAAUCAAUGAAAAAACCUUCUGGAAAUCCAAGUAAACAACAUCCACUGACUCUCCUUUGUCUAUCCUGUCUGUAAUUUCCUCAAAGAAUUCCAUGAAACUUCAUCCUUAACAAUGGACUCCAACAUCUUCCCAACCACUGAACUGGCCUAUCAUUUCCUUUCUUCUGCCUCCCUCUUUUCUUACAGAAUAGAGCGACAUUUGCAAUUUUUCGGUCCUCCAGAACCAGUACAGAAUUUAGAGAGUCGUUCAUAGAAGAUAGAACAGUACAGCACAGGAACAGUCCUUUCAACCCACAAUGGUGUGACAAAAAGUAAAUAAAAAACCCCAAAAACAAAUCCAUCCUACCCCCACAAUGUCCACAUCCCCCCCAUCUUCCUCAGAUUCAUGUGCCUGUCUAAAUAUUUCUUAAAAGCUUCUGAUGUAUUUGCCUUUACCACCAUACCAGGCAUCCACGACUUGCUGAAUAAAAUAUUCACCCCUCACAUCUCUUUUGAAACCACCGCCCUGUCACCUUCAAUGCCUGCCCGCCGGUAUUAGGCAUUUCUUCCUUUCUACUCGAUCUAUGCCUCUCAUAAUCUUAUAAAUCUCUAUCAGAUCACCCCUCAGCCUCCAGCACUCCGGAGAAAACAAUCCUAGUUUGUCUAGUCUCUCAUGAUAGCACAUGCACCCUAGACCAGGCAGCAUCCUGGUAAACCUCUUCUGCACCCUCUCCAAAGUCUCAACGUCCUUCCUAUAGUGGGGCAACCAGAACUGUAUGCAAUACUCCAGAUGUGGCCUAACCAGAGUUCUACAAAGUUGCAACAUAACCUCUUGACUUUUGAACCCAGUGCCUCAAUCAAUAAAAGCAAGCAUUCCAUAAGCCUUCUUAACCACCCUACCAACCUAUGUAGCCACAUUCAAGGAACUUUGAGCUUGGGCCACAAAAUCUCUCUGCUCAGCAACACUGUUAAGGGUUUCGAAAGAUCAUUACUAAAGCUUCCACAGUCUCUUCAUCCACCUCUUUCAGAACCCUGGGAUGUAGUCCAAGUGACUUAUCGACAUUCAGACCUUUCAGCUUACUAAGCACCUUCUCCGUACUAACAGCGAUUACACUCGCUUCUGGCCCCUGACACUCUUGGAUUUUGGCAGACCGCUAGUGUCUUCCACAGUGAAGACAGACACACAGAUGUACUGUGAUAACCAAAACCUUGCAUCAGAUGUGAGGCCAUAAAUGCCUUUUAGACCCAUGAAGAAGAUUGAGACAGGAAACCCAGAAGCCUUCUGUCCCACCCCCGGUUCUGGAAUAGUUAUUACCAUACAACCAUCAGGCUGCUGAACCAGUGUGGAUAACUUCAUUAGCACAACUUGUGAUUUCACAACCUACAGAUCCAUUCUCAAGGACUUUACAACUCCUGUUCUCAUUGUACAAUGUACUGUGUAUGUAAUCAAAAUGGCUUCUUUGGUUUGCUAGAGUCGGAAUGCUUUUAUGUCUAAUAAGUGUUUUUUUCUUGCAUUUGUUUAGCUUUGGACUUGCUGAUAUGCGGAUUGUAUUCACUUGUUAACCAAUGGGGAAUGUUAUUUUGUCUUGUGGGGCUGGGAGCUUGGGGGUUUCGCGGUCUUUUGAGAGCAGGGGGAAGGAGACGCCGAGGAAGGUGGACGUGCGCUGCACUGCUCGGUCGACCACCGGGGGUGGUCCCAGGUGCGAAGAUGUGGAGGUCGGAGGCAAGCAACGAGGGGGCAAAUGGUUCGAUGGUUGAGCUCCAACGAUGUGCACUAAACUGAUUGAACUUUGAUAAGUUGGCGCCUUUUGCUUUAUUUUCUUUUCCUUCAUAUAUACUGUAUUGCAUAGUGCUCUUUUAGUUUUAGUAAAAUCUUUUAGGUGUAUUCUGUAAUGGUAUCUGGUGUGAGUUUGAUAUUGUGUGGUACGCGCGGCAUAAACUUGAUUCUCACAGCACCAGUUGUGUGUACGGGAGGUGGGGUUGGUGAGUGGCUGGAUCUCCUUUUCCCCUAGACAUAUACCAGCCUGUUGGGUAAGUGUUACAUUGUGGCGACCCAUUUCCUGGCACAUCCGAACCGACUCACAAUUAGAUCGCCUACGGGGGUUUGCGAGCACAGAGCUUUGGAGCCUCUGCACCAUGGGGGGCAGGUUGAGGGAGGCUUAAAAGUGAGGCUGAAGAUUUCGAAUAAAGUUUUUUCCUUCGACUGCAGUUACCGACUCCGUGUCGUAAUUUUAGCGCUGCGUGUAGCACACCGCUACAACAUCAUUAUUUUUCUUAUUUGCACAGUUUGUCAUCUUUUCCGUAUUGAUUGUUUGUCAGUCUUUACGUACAGUUUUUCAUAAAGUCUCUUGUAUUUAUUUAUUUUGUAGAAAUGAAUCUCAUGGGAGGUUAUGGUAACGUAUGCGUACUUCGAUAACAAGUUUACUUUGAACUUUGGAGAUGGCAUAAUUAUACCAGUAAAGAUGCACUGGAGUAUUCGGGAUGAUAUUUCCUUGAAAGUGGAGUCGGUAAAUGCAGCAGCAAAGGUCUGGAUUUUGAACAACCAGUCAUGGAUUUUGCAGGCAUUUCCCUGCAGCUCUGAUCACAGCGAUUUAAUUCCCCUGCAAAAUCAUGUGGGAUCAAAAAGUGAGCAGAAGCUCAGAGUUUAGUGUGGUAGCUCCUUGGCAAAUCUCUGAUGGAUUAUGUUUGUCAGAUCCAAACUUCAAUGAAAAUCCUGGAAACAGUAGUACUUUUAGGAAGCAUUUAGUCAGAUACUUAAAUAAGCAAGGCAAAGAGGAUAUGAUACUAAUGCAAAUAUUAGUGAAGUAGGUGUGCAAUGCACGUGAUGGGAUGGAGGACCCAUUUCUGUGUAACACAGCACUAUGACUCAGCAGGCCAAGCAGCAGUUGUGGGAAAUGAAAUUGGGUGAAUGUUUCAGCUGGAAGAGUCUUGGCCAUAUAAAGAUCUUCCCACGGAUAAUGCCUGAUGUGCUGAGACGUUCCAGUAUUUUUCAGACUGUCAGAUCUGCUGUACUUGGGGGUUUUCUUGAGGGAAGGUACGGUAAGUGAAAUGCUUUACAGUGUCAGUGACCCAGGUUUGUUUUCUGUCACUGUCUCUAAGGAGUUUGUACUGUAUGUUCUCCCUCUGACUGGGUAGGUUUCCCCGGCUACUCUGGUGUCCUUCCACAUCCCAAAGACACCCAGGUUAAUUGGUCACUUGGAAUGACCUAUUACUGUGCCUUAUCUCUAAGUAAACAUAUAAACUUAAAUAUGAUUUUUGACUGAUCUGUUUCUUACCACAGAUGGAAAAAAAAGUGAACAUUUGAACUAAAACUGGAAGAUACUGGCACUGAAUAACAUCUGGAAGAAAAUAUGAUGUUAGCGUUUGAGCUAUGAUCCUUGCUGAGGACCUUUUCCUUCUCUGCUGAUUGAUGUCCUUUCAUUAAACCAAUGCGAGGAGCCUUAGAACGAUAGCUUUUUAAGAGCAGGAAUAAUAACCGUGGCUUGGGAUCUGGAGAAUAUUUCAAUCUCAUCUGCCCAAUCGAUCACAAAACCCAGUGUCCCCUCCAUUGACUGCAUCAAGAUCAAGGAUCCUCCCUACCCUGGUCAUUCUCUCCUCACCCUCCUUCCAUCGGGCAGAAGUCACAAAAGCCUGAAGGUUACUGCCUUUUCAUUCUUCUUACUGAAGUACAUCAAGUCAAGUCAAGGGAAAAGAGGAGAAGGCCACACAAGAAUGGGCUCACAGAUAGCCACUGAAUUAAACUACAGGCUUGGAAAUCCCGAAUAUCGAGUCAGUUUAUCAUAGUAAUGGCAGUCACCAGAAACUGGAAAGUCAUGAGUCGAGGCACUGAGUUCAGAAGUCAUCGUUAUGUUGCAGCUUUAUAAAACUCCAUUUAAGCCACACGUGGAGUAUUGCAUUCCGUUCUGGUCACCGUAUUAUCCAGUACUGUGCAACAGUCUUAGGCACAUAUAUAUUGUUAGGGUGCCUAAGACUGUUGUACAGUACUGUAGUAAUUUUAUGUAUUGCACUGAACUGCUGUCGCAAAAUCAAAAACAAAUUUCAUGACAUAUGUGAUUGAUGAUAAACCUGAUUCUGAUAUGGGUCUCUAUUGUGGACUGAGAGUGGGGAGAGGGAUAACACGGCUGGGAAAAUGAGAAGGGGGAGGAGAGGAGCAGGAAGCACCAGAGAGACAUUCUGUAAUGAUCAAUAAACCGAUCAUUUAGAAUCGAAUGAUCUUGCCUGGUGUCUCAAGGACGCGCAAACCCCCACCACCCCCCACCUCCGGUACCCUUUCUCUGCCUCUUGAAUAUCCUUAGCUCCACCAGAUUUACAAACACACUUGCCACUUCACGCUGACAAACGUAUAUAUAUACAGGCCUAAGAUUUUUUUUGCAGGGUACCAUAGGUAGGACGUUAAGGCUUUGGAGAGCGUGCAGAAGAGGUUUACCAAGAUAGUACCUACAUUAGAGGGCAAGUGCAAUAAUGACAGAUUGGACAAACUUGGGUUGAUUUUUCUGGAGUGGUGGAGAUCUGACAGAGAUUUGUAAGGCUAUGAGAGGCACAAAUAGAGUAGGCAGAUAAUUGUCUUUUUACCGGGGUUGAAAGGUCGAAUACCAGAGGACAUGCAAUUAAGGCGAGAGGGGGUAAUUUUAAAGGAGAUGUGAGGGGGGCAGGUUUUUUACACAGAGUGGUGGAUGCCUGGAAUGUUUUGCCUGGGAUGGUAGUAGAGGGAGAUACAUUAUGGAAUUUUAAAAGACAUGUAGAUAGGCACAAGGGUGUAAGAAAAAUGGAAGGAAAUGGACACUGCAUCGGCAGAGGAGAUUAGUUAACCAUAUGACUAGUAACUUAACUGAAUAGGCACAGCAUUGUGGGCCAUAGGGCCAGUUCCAAUGCUAUAAUGUUCUGUGUUUUAUGUUCUAAACUUUAAAAAGCAAUAUAUCCAUCAUCUUCAAUAUCCUUAACUGUUAAACAUAUUGAUGUGGUGAGACUCUACAGUUGAUCUCUGGCCCAAUGAGUUUGCUUGAAAGGAAUAUGACUUAGAAUAUUGGUAAAAUCUUGGCACUUCCAGAUCAUCCCAGACUAAACAAUUUUGUUGAUUUUUACAGUGAGGAUAGUUCACGUCACUGAUUCUACGUUAGCCUCGAUGGCUCCCCAAACAACUGAUAUGUUAGAAGUUUGUCAAUGUUACACAGUCAUAACAAUUUUGCCAUCUUUAUUCUCAUAAAUUUAAGAGCAUUGUAUUUUCAAACCAGUUGCCUUACCAGUCUAUCAUGCCUCUACCAACUUUUUACUAAAAACAAUUUAAAGAAAGCAGUUCACACAAAAUGGUGGGGGAUCUCAGUAGGUCAGGCAACAUCUAUGGAAUGGAAUAAACAGUCAACAAAUCAGACCCGGAUGAAGGGUCUCAGCCCUAAACAUCAACUGCUUAUUCCCCUCCAUAGAUGCUGCCUGACCUGCUGAGUUCCACCAGCAUUUUAUGAGUGCCUCUCAAGAUUUCCAGCAUCUGCAGAAUCUCAUGUGUUACCAUGUAUUCUACCUCCAUUUCUAAGAAGUCAAGGCCUAAUUUCUAGCACAUAGGCCUUGUUAAUAGAGUGACCUCCUGAAUGCAAAUAGACUUUCAAUAAUACAGAAGUAUUUUAACUGGUAACUUUACUCUUUUAUUGCCAUUAAUGUGCCUGCUAG